UACAGAGGUCCCGAGCGUUGUUCGGAUUCACUGGGCGUAAAGGGUGCGUAGGUGGCCUGAAAAGUUUGAUGUGAAAGCUCAGGGCUUAACCCUGAAAUGGCAUUGAAUACUGUCGGGCUGGAGGUUUGGAGGGGGGACUGGAAUUCUUGGUGUAGCAGUGAAAUGCGCAGAUAUCAGGAGGAACACCGGUGGCGAAGGCGGUUCUCUGGGCAUGUCCUGACGCUGAGGAGCGAAAGUGUGGGGAGCGAACAGG
rnacentral:rRNA from 1 species